rnacentral:tRNA from 1 species
GCGGGCGUGGCGGAACUGGUAGACGCGCUGGAUUUAGGUUCCAGUGGGACUAUCUCCCAUGAAGGUUCGAGUCCUUUCGCCCGCACCA